UACAGAGGUGGCAAGCGUUGUUCGGAAUUACUGGGCGUAAAGGGCGCGUAGGCGGUUUUGUAAGUCCCGUGUGAAAGCCCCCGGCUCAACCGGGGAAUGGCACGGGAAACUGCGAGGCUUGAGUUCGGGAGAGGGAAGCGGAAUUCCGGGUGUAGCGGUGAAAUGCGUAGAUAUCCGGAGGAACACCAGUGGCGAAGGCGGCUUCCUGGACCGAUACUGACGCUGAGGCGCGAAAGCUAGGGGAGCAAACGGG
rnacentral:rRNA from 1 species